CAGUCGCCGCGGGAAUACAGAGGGUGCAAGCGUUAAUCGGAUUUACUGGGCGUAAAGGGCGCGUAGGUGGUUAUGUAAGUGAGAUGUGAAAUCCCCGGGCUCAACCUGGGAACUGCAUCUUAUACUGCGUAGCUGGAGUGCAGUAGAGGGUAGUGGAAUUUCCGGUGUAGCGGUGAAAUGCGUAGAUAUCGGAAGGAACACCAGUGGCGAAGGCGGCUACCUGGACUGACACUGACACUGAGGCGCGAAAGCGUGGGGAGCAAACAGGAUUAGAUACCCCGGUAGUCCCUGUCUCUUAUAC
rnacentral:rRNA from 1 species